AUACGGCGAAACUGCGAAUGGCUCAUUAUAUAAGUUAUCGUUUAUUUGAUAGUAUCUUGCUACUUGGAUAACCGUGGUAAUUCUAGAGCUAAUACAUGCUAAAAAUCCCGACUUCGGAAGGGAUGUAUUUAUUAGAUUAAAAACCAAUGCCCUCUGGGCUCUCUUGGUGAAUCAUGAUAACUUCUCGAAUCGCAGGGCCUUGCGCCGGCGAUGGUUCAUUCAAAUUUCUUCCCUAUCAACUUUCGAUGUUUGGGUAGUGGCCAAACAUGGUUGCAACGGGUAACGGAGGGUUAGGGCUCGACCCCGGAGAAGGAGCCUGAGAAACGGCUACUACAUCCAAGGAAGGCAGCAGGCGCGCAAAUUACCCAAUCCCGAUCCGGGGAGGUAGUGACAAUAAAUACUGAUACAGGGCUCUUUUGGGUCUUGUAAUUGGAAUGAGUACAAUUUAAAUCCCUUAACGAGGAACAAUUGGAGGGCAAGUCUGGUGCCAGCAGCCGCGGUAAUUCCAGCUCCAAUAGCGUAUAUUAAAGUUGUUGUGGUUAAAAAGCUCGUAGUUGAACCUUGGGCCUGGCUGGCCGGUCCGCCUCACCGCGUGCACUGGUCCGGCCGGGCCUUUCCCUCUGUGGAACCCCAUGCCCUUCACUGGGUGUGGCGGGGAAACAGGACUUUUACUUUGAAAAAAUUAGAGUGCUCCAGGCAGGCCUAUGCUCGAAUACAUUAGCAUGGAAUAAUGAAAUAGGACGUGCGGUUCUAUUUUGUUGGUUUCUAGGACCGCCGUAAUGAUUAAUAGGGACAGUCGGGGGCAUCAGUAUUCAAUUGUCAGAGGUGAAAUUCUUGGAUUUAUUGAAGACUAACUACUGCGAAAGCAUUUGCCAAGGAUGUUUUCAUUAAUCAGGAACGAAAGUUAGGGGAUCGAAGACGAUCAGAUACCGUCGUAGUCUUAACCAUAAACUAUGCCGACUAGGGAUCGGACGAUGUUAUUUUUUGACUCGUUCGGCACCUUACGAGAAAUCAAAGUGCUUGGGCUCCAGGGGGAGUAUGGUCGCAAGGCUGAAACUUAAAGAAAUUGACGGAAGGGCACCACCAGGGGUAAACCUGACCUGUGAAGCCGCAGUCAACUCUGCUCCAGAAAGCCGCCCGAAAGGGUCGGUGGUGUUCCUAGGGGAGAGCUCUCCCCUAAACUAAUGGCUAGUCCUGCCGCCCGCGGCAGGGCGACACCCUCAAACUGACGGGGAACUCCUAAAGCCCUCGCUCCGGACAGGCGUCGGGAAACCGACGGCCUGCUCACCAGGCUAACGACCUCGGGUAUCGGAAGCAACGCGAGAGGAUGCUACAAUGGACAAUCCGCAGCCAAGCCCCUACGGUGCGGCCUCUACGGGGGUCGCAUACGGGGAAGGUUCAGAGACUUGACGGGGGUGGGUGGCGCGGGCUCUUGGGGUGCAAGCCGCGUGCUUGCUUGCAGGCCCAGGCGCCCGCCGCUGCCUAAGAUAAAGUCCGGGCGUGCGCGAAAGCGUGCGCGGCAACCACGCAACCCGCCGUUUCCAGCGGGUGCGAGGCCCCAGAAGUAAAAACAACCGGGAGCCUGCGGCUUAAUUUGACUCAACACGGGGAAACUCACCAGGUCCAGACACAAUGAGGAUUGACAGAUUGAGAGCUCUUUCUUGAUUUUGUGGGUGGUGGUGCAUGGCCGUUCUUAGUUGGUGGAGUGAUUUGUCUGCUUAAUUGCGAUAACGAACGAGACCUUAACCUGCUAAAUAGCCCGUAUUGCUUUGGCAGUACGCCGGCUUCUUAGA
rnacentral:rRNA from 1 species